rnacentral:rRNA from 1 species
CACGUAGGGUGCGAGCGUUGUCCGGAAUUAUUGGGCGUAAAGAGCUCGUAGGCGGUGUGUCGCGUCGGCCGUGAAAACCUGCAGCUUAACUGUGGGCUUGCGGUCGAUACGGGCAUCACUGGAGUUCGGCAGGGGAGACUGGAAUUCCUGGUGUAGCGGUGAAAUGCGCAGAUAUCAGGAGGAACACCGGUGGCGAAGGCAGCUCGCUGGGACGUUACUGACACUAAGGCGCGAAAGCGUGGGGAGCGAACAGG